rnacentral:tmRNA from 1 species
GGGGCUGAUUCUGGAUUCGACGGGAUUUGCGAAACCCAAGGUGCAUGCCGAGGGGCGGUUGGCCUCGUAAAAAGCCGCAAAAAAAUAGUCGCAAACGACGAAAACUACGCUUUAGCAGCUUAAUAACCUGCUUAGAGCCCUCUCUCCCUAGCCUCCGCUCUUAGGACGGGGAUCAAGAGAGGUCAAACCCAAAAGAGAUCGCGUGGAGGCCCUGCCUGGGGUUGAAGCGUUAAAACGAAUCAGGCUAGUCUGGUAGUGGCGUGUCCGUCCGCAGGUGCCAGGCGAAUGUAAAGACUGACUAAGCAUGUAGUACCGAG